UACGUAGGGUGCGAGCGUUAAUCGGAAUUACUGGGCGUAAAGCGUGCGCAGGCGGUUUUGUAAGCCAGAUGUGAAAUCCCCGGGCUUAACCUGGGAACUGCAUUUGGGACUGCAAGGCUUGAGUGCGGCAGAGGAGACUGGAAUUCCUGGUGUAGCAGUGAAAUGCGCAGAUAUCAGGAGGAACACCGGUGGCGAAGGCGGGACUCUGGGCCGAAUACUGACGCUGGAGGAGCGAAAGCGUGGGGAGCAAACAGGA
rnacentral:rRNA from 1 species